GACGAACGCUGGCGGCGUGCCUAAUACAUGCAAGUUGAGCGCUGAAGGUUGGUACUUGUACCAACUGGAUGAGCAGCGAACGGGUGAGUAACGCGUGGGGAAUCUGCCUUUGAGCGGGGGACAACAUUUGGAAACGAAUGCUAAUACCGCAUAAAAACUUUAAACACAAGUUUUAAGGUUGAAAGAUGCAAUUGCAUCACUCAAAGAUGAUCCCGCGUUGUAUUAGCUAGUUGGUGAGGUAAAGGCUCACCAAGGCGUUGAUACAUAGCCGACCUGAGAGGGUGAGCGGCCACAUUGGGAGUGAGACACGGCCCAAACUCCUACGGGAGGCAGCAGUAGGGAAACUUCGGCAAGGGACGAAAGUCUGACCGAGCAACGCCGCGGGAGUGAAGAGGGUUUUCGGAUCGUAAAACUCUGUUGGUAGAGAAGAACGUUGGUGAGAGUGGAAAGCUCCUCAAGUGACGGUAACUACCCAGAAAGGGACGGCUAACUACGUG
rnacentral:rRNA from 1 species